rnacentral:rRNA from 1 species
UACGGGGGGAGCAAGCGUUGUUCGGAUUUACUGGGCGUAAAGGGCGCGUAGGCGGUCAGCACAAGUCAGUUGUGAAAUCUCCGGGCUUAACUCGGAAAGGUCAACUGAUACUGUGCGACUAGAGUGCGGAAGGGGCAACUGGAAUUCUUGGUGUAGCGGUGAAAUGCGUAGAUAUCAAGAGGAACACCUGCGGCGAAGGCGGGUUGCUGGGCCGACACGUGACGCUGAGGCGCGAAAGCGUGGGGAGCGAACAGG